UACGUAGGGUGCGAGCGUUAAUCGGAAUUACUGGGCGUAAAGCGUGCGCAGGCUGCCUUGCAAGACAGAUGUGAAAUCCCCGGGCUCAACCUGGGAGCUGCAUUUGUGACUGCAUGGCUAGAGUAUGGCAGAGGGGGAUGGAAUUCCGCGUGUAGCAGUGAAAUGCGUAGAUAUGCGGAGGAACACCGAUGGCGAAGGCAAUCCCCUGGGCCUGUACUGACGCUGAGGUGCGAAAGCGUGGGGAGCAAACAGG
rnacentral:rRNA from 1 species